rnacentral:rRNA from 1 species
GGGGGUAGAGCACUGUUUCGGCUAGGGGGUCAUCCCGACUUACCAAACCGAUGCAAACUCCGAAUACCAAUGAGUACUAUCCGGGAGACAGACUGCGGGUGCUAACGUCCGUAGUCAAGAGGAAAACAAUCCAGACCGCCAGCUAAGGCCCCAAAAUCAUAGUUAAGUGGGAAACGAUGUGGGAAGGCAUAGACAGCUAGGAGGUUGGCUUAGAAGCAGCCACCCUUUAAAGAAAGCGUAAUAGCUCACUAGUCGAGUCGGCCUGCGCGGAAGAUGUAACGGGGCUAAAACUAUGUGCCGAAGCUGCGGAUGCACAUUUAUGUGCGUGGUAGGGGAGCGUUCUGUAAGCCGAUGAAGGUGGAUUGAGAAGUCUGCUGGAGGUAUCAGAAGUGCGAAUGCUGACGUGAGUAACGACAAAACGGGUGAAAAACCCGUUCGCCGAAAGACCAAGGGUUCCAGUCCAACGUUAAUCGGGGCUGGGUGAGUCGACCCCUAAGGCGAGGCCGAAAGGCGUAGUCGAUGGGAAAUUGGUUAAUAUUCCAAUACUUCUGUGUAAUGCGAUGAGAGGACGGAGAAGGUUAGGUCAGCCUGGCGUUGGUUGUCCAGGUGGAAGACAGUAGGCAUGCAUCUUAGGCAAAUCCGGGGUGCUCUAUGCUGAGAGUCGAUAGCAAGCCAGUUUACUGGCGAAGUGGCCGAUACCAUACUUCCAAGAAAAGUCUCUAAGCUUCAGUUACACAGGAAUCGUACCCGAAACCGACACAGGUGGUCAGGUCGAGUAGACCAAGGCGCUUGAGAGAACUCUGCUGAAGGAACUAGGCAAAAUGGUACCGUAACUUCGGGAGAAGGUACGCUGCUGAUGGUGAUAGGACUUGCUCCUUGAGCUGUCGGCAGCCGCAGAAACCAGGCCGCUGCAACUGUUUAUUAAAAACAUAGCACUCUGCAAACACGAAAGUGGACGUAUAGGGUGUGAUGCCUGCCCGGUGCUGGAAGGUUAAUUGAUGGGGUUAGCGUAAGCGAAGCUCUUGAUCGAAGCCCCAGUAAACGGCGGCCGUAACUAUAACGGUCCUAAGGUAGCGAAAUUCCUUGUCGGGUAAGUUCCGACCUGCACGAAUGGCAUAAUGAUGGCGGCGCUGUCUCCAGCAGAGGCUCAGUGAAAUCGAAAUCGCUGUGAAGAUGCAGUGUACCCGCGGCUAGACGGAAAGACCCCGUGAACCUUUACUGCAGCUUGACACUGAACUUUGACCUUACUUGUGUAGGAUAGGUGGGAGGCUUUGAAGCUGGAACGCUAGUUCCAGUGGAGCCGUCCUUGAAAUACCACCCUGGUAAUGUUGAGGUUCUAACUCUGUCCCGUGAUCCGGGACGAGGACCGUGUCUGGUGGGUAGUUUGACUGGGGCGGUCUCCUCCUAAAGAGUAACGGAGGAGUACGAAGGUGCGCUCAGCGUGGUCGGAAAUCACGCGUAGAGUAUAAAGGCAAAAGCGCGCUUAACUGCGAGACCCACAAGUCGAGCAGGUACGAAAGUAGGUCUUAGUGAUCCGGUGGUUCUGUAUGGAAGGGCCAUCGCUCAACGGAUAAAAGGUACUCUGGGGAUAACAGGCUGAUACCGCCCAAGAGUUCAUAUCGACGGCGGUGUUUGGCACCUCGAUGUCGGCUCAUCUCAUCCUGGGGCUGAAGCAGGUCCCAAGGGUAUGGCUGUUCGCCAUUUAAAGAGGUACGCGAGCUGGGUUUAGAACGUCGUGAGACAGUUCGGUCCCUAUCUACCGUGGGCGCUGGAAAUUUGAGAGGAUCUGCUCCUAGUACGAGAGGACCAGAGUGGACGAACCUCUGGUGUACCGGUUGUGACGCCAGUCGCAUCGCCGGGUAGCUAUGUUCGGAAGGGAUAACCGCUGAAAGCAUCUAAGCGGGAAGCCUACCUCAAGAUAAGAUUUCCCUG